AAAAAGUAAAACCUAAACCUAAACUAAUUCAGCGCCUCAAAUUUCAACUUGCAGCAGCGCUGCACCGCUUCUCUCAUCGUUCUCUCCACCACCGCGCGGUCCAAGCUGCCCCACCCCGCCACAACAGUGCCGCACCGCUUCUCUCAUCGUUCUCUCCGACUCUGCGCUUGCAAUCCCUAGAGCAGCUCGAGGCUCGAGCGCCGCAGAUCUGCGCCUCUGACCUCAGAGUUUCAGACGUCUCAACUGUUGUUCCCUACCAUCGUCAUCGGCACAUCAUUCCUUCAGGCUGAUGGAUGUAAUUGAAACAUUUGGAGAUACAUCUAAUGAUGCACCUGAAGAUACACCUGGGAUACUUCUCAUGGUGGAGGUGAUGGACCUACCCAAUCCACGCAGCCUAAGAAGAAGAGAAAAGCUAUAGAGAAAAGGUAUGUAAAAGUUAUCAUUGCAAGCUCCAACAAAUCCAACAAAUUAAUCAAUCUCCAUUAUUUGUUGGAACUUGGAAGCUUAGUUAGAGAUGAAUGAUUAUAUUGAGUAUUAUGCUAUGUAAACAUUAAAACAUAGAACUAUUUUGUUAUGUGUUGAUGACAGAUGGAUAUGUUGAACCCUUUUUUUU